UGCAAAUGAUGAUGAAAUCGACGCUUGUUUCUCGAAACACUGUAGUUGCCGUGUAAGAUCUUACGCCCUGCCUGGCCUGAGAGCUAAUGCAAGUAGAUCCUUCCUUGGAUGUCUGAUGCA